rnacentral:lncRNA from 1 species
UGAGAGCACAGCAGGAGGGAUAAUGAUCGGGAUAUAACCCAAGCAUUCGAGCUGGCAAAGGCUACCUUCUUUGGGUCCCCUCCCUUUGUGUGGGAGCUCUGUUUUCACUCUAUUAAAUCUUGCAACUGCACUCUUCUGGUCCGUGUUUGUUACAGAUCAAGCUGAGCUGAGCUCGCCAUCCACCACUGCUGUUUGCCGCCAUCGCAGACCCGCAGCUGACUUCCAUCCCUCCAGAUCCAGCAGGGUGUCUGCUGUGCUCCUGAUCCAGCCAGGUGCCCAUUGCCACUCCUGAUCAGGCUAAAGGCUUGCCAUUGUUCCUGCACUGCUAAGUGCCUGGGUUCGUCCUAAUGGAGCUGAACACUAGUCACUGGGUUCCAUGGUUCUCUUCUGUGACCCACGGCUUGUAAUAGAGCUAUAACACUCACCACAGGGCCCAAGAUUCCAUUCCUUGGAAUCCGUGAGGCCAAGAACCCCAGGUCAGAGAACACGAGGCUUGCCACCAUCUUGGAAGUGGCCUGCCGCCAUUUUGGAAGUGGCCUGCCACCAUCUUGGGAGCUCUCAGAGCAAGGACCCCCAGGUACUCAUCUAGGUAAUCAUGACACAUGGAUGAACAAACACUUAUAAAGUCCUGUUCUAAUGCAGCUUCUGUUAGUGGAAACUUAUAUUCUAGUUCAUCUUCUGCAUUCUAGAAAAAGUGUCAAGAAAAGAAUAUGAAAAGGUGAGACAAAAGUGACCUUUUGCUUACAAAUUCAUUCUAAGAGGAAAGGCUGAUAUAAAGACUUAAAAUUACAAAACAACAAGGCGUGAUUACCAGCUGAAAGUGUAUUGUGUCACACAUAGCACAGAAGAAAGAGUGAGUCACACUAUUGGGUAAAAAACAGAAAGAGUUUUGCUAAGAAAUAGGCUCUAUUUUGGCUGCAUUUUGAAAGCAGGGUUAAAAGUUGCUAAAAUAAAAUUGAGUAUGUUAGCAAAUGUACAAAAUCUAACAAUUUUGGAGUGGAGAUAAAGGGUUAUUUUAACAACAAGCAAAAUUUUGUCUUACAAAAUUUUACAUUCUUCUUGCUUCUUCCUUUUAUCCCUCUUUGUAUGAAAGCAUUAUAACCAUUAUAAUGGAA